GGUGUAUUUAGAAAACAAAAAAGGUCUUCUUUUAUUCUCUCACUGGGGGUUAGGGGUUUUGCGCAUCAACAGCGAGAUCAUAAAGGGUUUAUGAAAAAGUGAACCAUGUCUGCUAAUUAUGCAAGAAGAGCUUUUCAAAGCUUUGCAAAGUCAUCUUCAUUUGCUUCUGGUGCUGCUAAGUUUGGUGGAUUUACUUCUACUGCUAAACCAACUUCUACAUCUCAUUUUCUGAAAUCUCCACUUUUUUCAAGGCUUCCUGUGUUGGGUUGCGCACAGUGGUUGAUGCCAUUGCACAGUGUUACUGCAUCUGCGUUGCUUACUUCAAAGCUCUCUUUGAAGGCAGGAAAUUGGGCUUGGCUUUUGGAAGGGAGUUCCCUCGAUAUUACGUAGGUGGAUGACUAUUCUUGAUAAGCUUCCUUUCCAAGGUGACAGAUAUGGUUUCAGGAUUUGCGACCCCACUAUAACAUGGCCCGUGAAUCUAGUAGGCUUAAGAAGUAGAAUCAGAUGGAGAAGGGAAUCAUUUCCGUUCCACCGUCAUUUAUUUGUAACUACAAGCAAAGAGAGCUAAACUGUGACAUACAAUUGAUGUACUUUUCACUCUUUAGUUACAGUUCCAAAUUUGGUUUUUGGAUAUACAUUUUGUAUCAAGUCCCAUCUUCAUCAUCAGGAGAGGCCCCUUAAAUUGGCUGAAUGCUUCUAUUUUGGUGCUUAGUUAAGCAAAGAUUUUGUUCGAUUUUGUAUCUAAAUGGCUAGUAUAAUCAUGUCGUUUCUCUUAAAUGAACUCGAUGGUUGUCA